rnacentral:rRNA from 1 species
GACGAACGCUGGCGGCGUGCCUAAUACAUGCAAGUCGAACGCAGUGGGGACGGGUGAGUAACACGUGGGUAACCUCCCAUCAGAGGGGAUAACACUUGGAAACAGGUGCUAAACCGAUACUGAUGGAUGGUACCGCGGUGCAUUAGCUAGUUGGUGAGGUAACGGCUCACCAAGGGCACGAGGCCUAGCCGACCUGAGAGGUUGAUCGGCCACACUGGGACUGAGACACGGCCCAGACUCCUACGGGAGGCAGCAGUAGGGAAUCUUGCGCAAUGGACGAAAGUCUGACCGAGCAACGCCGCGUGAAUGAAGAAGGUUUUCGGAUCGUAAAACUCUGUUGUUAGAGAAGCGGUAUCUAACCAGAAAGCCACGGCUAACUACGUGCCAGCAGCCGCGGUAAUUC